GUUUGAAGCUAGCAAACGUGUAUCUGUAGCCUGCAAUGCUAAGUAGCUUGGUAAUGGUUUUGAAUAGCCCAAAGCAAACCUUUUCCUUUUAGUCUGUUGAUAGAACACUUUGUCAAUGUUUGUCUACAAAUAUUAAAUACGUUUGCACCAGUACAGCAAAGGUUUGGAUGCAGCUUUCUAUUCAAAGAUGACAGUGGGGGGAAAAAAAGUGCAGACCUUCAGAACUAAAUCAACACUGAUUUAGCAUUCUCAUGGCGUCACGGUCUAAUUGCAGGGGAAAGCAGUAGGAAAGUAAUAGCAGAGACACAUCAGUAGAUUCAGAACAUACAGUAUCAAAGCUUGCUUGCUCUGACGUGAUGAUAGGGUUGCCAUACCUGGUUUUUAUCUCCCACGACUACCAUGAUGUCUUCUGAAACUCGCCUACCACUGACACGGCCUUCAAACUAUUAUCACUCUCCUUCCUUUUUCCUCAGCCCAAAAUCUUCGCCACUCACCCUCCUCCUCCUCCUCCCCGUUCUCCCCAGGACAUAAAACACAGUGCAAGUCUCAGCAGAAAAUACCGAGAUAUGAUUAUGCCACAGCAAGCGGGGUGCAGAAAGCGAUGACAAAAUGCCGUUUUUGCCAGUUGAUUUAGAGCAACAAGCAAGAAUAUCAAACGACUCAAACUCGCAUAUGUGAUGCAGUUACCAUCGCAGCAAAAGAAUGGAAUGAGGAAGAGGUAUGUUGUAAUGGAGGCAAAUUUAAUCUGAGUAAAUUAUGUAAAUUCCCCUCACACAACAAAGGGAUCAUCAAUAAGAGCGGGGAUGUUCAUUAGGCUCAGCGAGCGCUAAUAUAUGGAUGUUUUGGCUAAGACACACAGCAGAUUGGUAAGCAAGCUCACUCAAGCAUGAUUUCUCAUAAUCGCUUGACUCUAUUCAAACGUGUCAGCCGCAACGGGAUGUUACAAAUCGUAUUAGCAGCCCCAGCUUUUAAGCACCAGAGCAGGCGUCAGAAAAUGCAUCCAAAACUGUUUUUUUUAAACUCUUACGACCUUUGAACCGUUUCAUAGUCGAGGAUGGGAAUGUACUGUUGAAGUGAGCUUAAGCUCGGUGACAUUCAGCAUGUAACUGAUGUCUGGUUUUGCUGAUGAAUAAGUAAUGAGGCAAAUGAUAUUAAAAGGUAUAAGCACAUUUCAAGCAACUAUUUGAACAUCAUGACAGGUUCGGCUUUUAGCCUCCAGAGAUUUUUAGAUUGUCAUUUUCUUCAACCUUGCUUGAUCCUGCCACGCAAACAAAUCAAAUGGAUGAGGAACACAAAACACAUUAUUUUUUAACCUGCUGUUGUAUUAACUUUUCAAAUAAUCACAUUGUUUUUUUUCCACUGUAUUUACGAUUUACUCAUCAUGAUAAAAUAAAAAAUAGAAUAUUUGCCUAUUGAACUGUAUUCUAAAUGUAUUUCUUUUUAAGUUGCUUCAGUAAAAAAUGCUGAAAUUCCCUGAUCAAAUGAGGCAGCUGCCAGCACAGUUGGAUCAUUGUGCCUGCCAGUUUGUGUUUGUUAGCUUCUGUUAAUUACAGCUAAAGCUACUGUAACCAUGCAAUUUCCCCUGUGGAUAUUACAAUAAAGUAUGUCUAAGUCAAUAAUAAUAUAACGUUGCUUAUACACCAUGAUAUUCUCCAUCCUGUGUAACGUCCUUAAUUUAAGUGUGACAUC